AUUUACUCAGCAAAAAAAUGAAGAAGACGAGAUUUUACAGAACUUUCGGAAGGAAAAUCCUGGCAAAUAUCAACCAUUAGAAAGAAGGACGUUUACGUUGGGAUGUAGCUCAUCUUCACCAAUCUGUAUCCCAUCCAGUCCCACAUUGCCAAUCAGCGCAUCGUUUGCUGUUCCAUCAUGUCCGACACCCGAGUAUAAUCCGUCAUCGCCGAUGAGUAUCUCAUCCAAUCCCACAUUGCCAAUCAACGUAUCGUGUGCUGUUCCAUCAUGUCCGACACCCGAGUAUAGUCCAUCAUCGCCGAUGUGUAUCUUAUACAGUCCCGCAUUACCCAUCAACGUAUCGUGUGCUGUUCCAUCAUGUCCGACACCCGAGUCCGCGUUGGAAUUUCCUCCUAAACCACCAAUACUCAACCUUCCGGCACCUGAUCACACGUUAACACCCCCCAGAAAUACAUCUGUACCACCAGCAGUCCUAUCUGGGAACCCCGCUACUUCUACUCAAACCUUGAGGCAGUAUCCGCUUAAAGAGGAGCUAAGUACAUGUUUGGCAUUAUCAAAAGUAUUAAAGACAGCACUGAUUAUUAAACAUAGAGACUUGAGCAAGUCUAGAGACAAUCCCACAGAGGAAAAUCCAAUGAUAUAGAUCGUGGAAAGAAAUGGGUGAUCCUAGACGGCUUUAUGGGAUGGACUGUGACGUCAUUGACCCCAAAGAGACCCCAAACUACUACCCUUACUACUCAUAGGCCUAAAUUAUGCAGCCCUUCACCCGCAGUGAUGGGGUCAAGAGGGGCGUUAAACAAUAUUCAAUCCAUCAAUCAUAUGCGAUAUAGAAAAAACUCUGCCACAACAAUGGUCGAAGUUUCAAAUCGAUCACAGGUUUUCGACGCAUUUCGCUGGAAGAUAUAAAUAAUGAUUUGCUGUUAUUUUAUUUUUAAUUUAAUUAAGAACCUUUGGAGCCAAUAUCUAAUUACUAAUGUAGGGAGUCAAUAUCUAAUUACUAAUGUAGUAAUAUUUAAUUUCAACAUGCAUCAUAUAUGUACAUACAUGCAUGUACGUUAAAAUUGAUGUAAGAAAACUGCUAAAAAACGCACAAACACGUCAAUAUUAUUAGCAAUAAGUUUUAUGCAUUAUAUUUUAUGUAUUUGCAUUAAAGAAUAUAUUAGAAUUUAGCGAAAAAGUAAGAGACAUCCCAAUCAUCUAGCUCUCGAGAUAUAACAUAUCAGUAGCCAUUUGUACCGAAAAUGAACGAAUUUUGGGCCGAUUUUUGUAAAAAGAAAAUAAAUUCCAGUUAUUAAAGGUCUAUGCGUGUC